UUAAACGAAGCCAAAGAAGAGGCUCAUCACUGUUAAUGAUGUCAUUGGGCCCCUGCCCCGCUUAAG
rnacentral:tRNA from 1 species